GAUGAACGCUGGCGGCGUGCCUAAUACAUGCAAGUCGAGCGAACGGACGAGAAGCUUGCUUCUCUGAUGUUAGCGGCGGACGGGUGAGUAACACGUGGAUAACCUCCCUAUAAGACUGGGAUAACUUCGGGAAACCGGCGCUAAUACCGGAUAAUAUUUUGCACCGCAUGGUUCAAAAGUGAAAGACGGUCUUGCUGUCACUUAUAGAUGGAUCCGCGCUGCAUUAGCUGGUUGGUAAGGUAAUGGCUUACCAAGGCAACGAUGCAUAGCCGACGUGAGAGGGGGAUCGGCCGCAUUGGAACGGGGACAGGGUCCUGGCUCCUACGAGAGGCAGCAGUAGGGAAUCGUCCGCAGAGGGCGAAAGCCUGACGGAGCGACGCCGCGUGAGUGAUGAAGGUCUUCGGAUCGUAAAACUCUGUUUUGAGGGAAGAACAUAUGUGUAAUGAACUGUGCACAGCGUGACGGUACCUAAUCAGAAAGCCACGGCUAACUACGUG
rnacentral:rRNA from 1 species